rnacentral:rRNA from 1 species
GUGGGGAAUAUUGCACAAUGGGCGCAAGCCUGAUGCAGCCAUGCCGCGUGUAUGAAGAAGGCCUUAGGGUUGUAAAGUACUUUCAGCGGGGAGGAAGGUGAUAAGGUUAAUACCCUUAUCAAUUGACGUUACCCGCAGAAGAAGCACCGGCUAACUCCGUGCCAGCAGCCGCGGUAAUACGGAGGGUGCAAGCGUUAAUCGGAAUUACUGGGCGUAAAGCGCACGCAGGCGGUCAAUUAAGUCAGAUGUGAAAGCCCCGAGCUUAACUUGGGAAUUGCAUCUGAAACUGGUUGGCUAGAGUCUUGUAGAGGGGGGUAGAAUUCCAUGUGUAGCGGUGAAAUGCGUAGAGAUGUGGAGGAAUACCGGUGGCGAAGGCGGCCCCCUGGACAAAGACUGACGCUCAGGUGCGAAAGCGUGGGGAGCAAACAGG